GUUCAGGGAUGGGAAUCGAACCCACAUUGUUCCGCUUACCGGGCAGAUGCCAUGUCCACUAGGCUACCCUGGA